rnacentral:rRNA from 1 species
UACGAAGGGUGCAAGCGUUACUCGGAAUUACUGGGCGUAAAGCGUGCGUAGGUGGUGAGUUAAGUCUGUCGUGAAAGCCCCGGGCUCAACCUGGGAAUGGCGAUGGAUACUGGCUCGCUAGAGUACGGUAGAGGGCGGUGGAAUUCCCUGUGUAGCGGUGAAAUGCGUAGAUAUAGGGAGGAACAUCAGUGGCGAAGGCGGCCGCCUGGAUCGAUACUGACGCUGAGGUGCGAAAGCGUGGGGAGCAAACAGG